CCUACGGGAGGCAGCAGUGAGGAAUAUUGGUCAAUGGGCGAGAGCCUGAACCUGCCAAGUCGCGUGAAGGAUGACGGCCCUACGGGUUGUAAACUUCUUUUGUCAGGGAGCAAUUGGGUCCACGCGUGGGCUUAGCGAGAGUACCGGAAGAAAAAGCAUCGGCUAACUCCGUGCCAGAAGCCGCGGUAAUACGGAGGAUGCGAGCGUUAUCCGGAUUGUUUGGGUUAAAGGGGUGCGUAGGCGGAAUAUCAAGUCAGCGGUAAAAAUGCGGGGCGAAACCCCGUCGUGCCGUUGAAACUGAUGUUCUUGAGUGGGCGAGAGGUAUGCGGAAUGCGUGGUGUAGCAGUGAAAUGCAUAGAUAUCACGCAGAACUCUGAUUGCGAAGGCAGCAUACCGGCGCCCAACUGACGCUGAAGCACGAAAGCGUGGGUAUCGAACAGGAUUAGAUACCCUUGUAGUC
rnacentral:rRNA from 1 species